UACGUAGGGUGCAAGCGUUAAUCGGAAUUACUGGGCGUAUAGCGUGCGCAGGCGGUUGUGCAAGACAGAUGUGGAAUCCCCGGGCUUAACCUGGGAACUGCAUUUGUGACUGCACAGCUAGAGUACGGCAGAGGGGGAUGGAAUUCCGCGUGUAGCAGUGAAAUGCGUAGAUAUGCGGAGGAACACCGAUGGCGAAGGCAGUCCCCUGGGCCUGUACUGACGCUCAUGCACGAAAGCUAGGGGAGCAAACAGG
rnacentral:rRNA from 1 species